UACGUAGGGCGCAAGCGUUGUCCGGAAUUAUUGGGCGUAAAGAGCUCGUAGGCGGCUUGUCACGUCGAUUGUGAAAGCCCGAGCUUAACCUCGGGUCUGCAGUCGAUACGGGCUAGCUAGAGUGUGGUAGGGGAGAUCGGAAUUCCUGGUGUAGCGGUGAAAUGCGCAGAUAUCAGGAGGAACACCGGUGGCGAAGGCGGAUCUCUGGGCCAUUACUGACGCUGGAGGAGCGAAAGCGUGGGGAGCGAACAGG
rnacentral:rRNA from 1 species